GACGAACGCUGGCGGCGCGCUUAACACAUGCAAGUCGAGCGAAGCGGCGGACGGGUGAGUAACACGUGAGUAACCUGCCUUAGACAUUGGGAUAGCCUCGGGAAACCGGGAUUAAUACCAAAUGGUCUAAGAUGGACUCGCGUCCCAUUAGCUAGUUGGUGGGUAACAGCCCACCCAGGCGACGAGGGGUAGCCGGCCUGAGAUGGUGAGCGGCCACGGUGGAACUGAGAAACGGUCCAAACUCUACGGGAGGCAGCAGUGGGGAAUAUGGCACAAUGGAGGGAACUAUGAUGCAGCGACGCCGCGUGAACGAAGAAGGCUUUCGAGUCGUAAAGUUCUUUUAGAUGGGAAGCGGUACCAUAAGAAAAAGCCCCGGCUAACUACGUGCCAGCAGCCGCGGUAAUUC
rnacentral:rRNA from 1 species